rnacentral:rRNA from 1 species
GACGAACGCUGGCGGCGUGCCUAAUACAUGCAAGUCGAGCGAAUCAAUAGGAGCUUGCUCCUGUUGGUUAGCGGCGGACGGGUGAGUAUCACGUGGGCAACCUGCCUGUAAGACUGGGAUAACACCGGGAAACCGGUGCUAAUAACGGAUAAUCCUUUUCCUCUCAUGAGGAAAAGAUGAAAGUCGGCUUCGGCUGACACUUACAGAUGGGCCCGCGGCGCAUCAGCUAGUGGGUGGGGUAAAGGCCCACCAAGGUGACGAUGCGUAGCCGACCUGGGAGGGUGAGCGGCCACACUGGGACUGAGACACGGCCCAGACUCCUACGGGAGGCAGCAGUAGGGAAGCUUCCACAAUGGACGAAAGUCUGAUGGAGCAACGCCGCGUGGGCGAUGAAGGCCUUCGGGUCGUAAAGCUCUGUUGUUAGGGAAGAACAAGUACCGGAGUAACUGCCGGUACCUUGACGGUACCUAACCAGAAAGCCACGGCUAACUACGUGCCAGCAGCCGCCGUAAUAC